rnacentral:rRNA from 1 species
AAUGACGCUGGCGGCAGGCUACACAUGCAGUCGAGCGGAGUUUGGUGCUUGCACCAAGACUUAGCGGCGGACGGGUGAGUAAUGCUUAGUGAAUCUGCCUAUUAGUGGGGGACAACGUUUCGAAAGGAACGCUAAUACCGCAUACGUCCUACGGGAGAAAGCAGGGGAUCAUUUGACCUUGCGCUAAUGGAUGAGCCUAAGUCGGAUUAGCUAGUUGGUGGGGUAAAGGCCUACCAAGGCGACGAUCUGUAGCGGGUCUGAGAGGAUGAUCCGCCACACUGGGACUGAGACACGGCCCAGACUCCUACGUGGAGGCAGCAGUGGGGAAUAUUGGACAAUGGGCGGAAGCCUGAUCCAGCCAUGCCGCGUGUGUGAAGAAGGCCUUUUGGUUGUAAAGCACUUUAAGCGAGGAGGAGGAGCUCUAGGCUAAUACCCUAGAUGCUUGGACGUUACUCGCAGAAUAAGCACCGGCUAACUCUGUGCCAGCAGCCGCGGUAAUACAGA